rnacentral:rRNA from 1 species
UAUCUCUGUAGAGUCUGCAUAUCAAUAAGCGGAGGAAAAGAAACUAACUAGGAUUCCCUCAGUAACGGCGAGUGAAGCGGGAAGAGCUCAAAUUUGAAAUCUUCAAGGUUCUACCUUGACGAAUUGUAGUUUAAAGAAGUGUUUUCUGUUGGAGUUUUGGUAAAAGUUCUUUGGAAUAGGACAUCAUAGAGGGUGAGAAUCCCGUAUUUGACCAUUAUUUCCAGCUUUGUGAUACACUUUCAAAGAGUCGGAUUGUUUGGGAAUGCAGUCCAAAAUGGGUGGUAAAUUUCAUCUAAAGCUAAAUAUUGGCGAGAGACCGAUAGCGAACAAGUACCGUGAGGGAAAGAUGAAAAGAACUUUGAAAAGAGAGUUAAACAGUACGUGAAAUUGUCAAAAGGGAAGCGUUUGACACCAGUGUUGUUUUCUCGAAAAUCAAUUAAAAAAGGCAGGAUUUUGUGUUGUAUUGACUUUAUCAGCUUUCUGCACUCUUUUCUUGUCUUUUUUAAUGCACUUUUCGUUUAACAAGUCAACAUCAAUUUCUUUUGUUGUAAAAGGGGUCAUUGGAAGGUGGCUUUCUUUUCGGAGAAAGUGUUUAUAGCCUUUGGCCUCUGCAAUCGGAGAGAUUGAGGUCUGCAGCGUAGAUCCUUCGGGGCUAGAUACAUUUGUGCUAAGUUAUAGCCUUUCAUAGACAACUUGUUGACUAUGAUCAGUCAUGUAGCUUACUCGCUUAUGCUAUUUUACCUACGCUUAGGAUGUUGACGAUCAGCUGAGCGCG